rnacentral:misc_RNA from 1 species
GAACGCACAUUGCGCCCCCUGGUAUUCCGGGGGGCAUGCCUGUUCGAGCGUCAUUUCACCACUCAAGCCUCGCUUGGUAUUGGGCAACGCGGUCCGCCGCGUGCCUCAAAUCGUCCGGCUGGGUCUUCUGUCCCCUAAGCGUUGUGGAAACUAUUCGCUAAAGGGUGUUCGGGAGGCUACGCCGUAAAACAACCCCAUUUCUAAGGUUGACCUCGGAUCAGGUAGGACUACCCGCUGAACUUAAG